rnacentral:rRNA from 1 species
GGGAUGCCCAUCCCAUGCCAAGUCGAACGGCAGCACGGACUUCGGUCUGGUGGCGAGUGGCGAACGGGUGAGUAAUGUAUCGGAACGUGCCCAGUAGCGGGGGAUAACUACGCGAAAGCGUAGCUAAUACCGCAUACGCCCUACGGGGGAAAGCAGGGGAUCGCAAGACCUUGCACUAUUGGAGCGGCCGAUAUCGGAUUAGCUAGUUGGUGGGGUAACGGCUCACCAAGGCGACGAUCCGUAGCUGGUUUGAGAGGACGACCAGCCACACUGGGACUGAGACACGGCCCAGACUCCUACGGGAGGCAGCAGUGGGGAAUUUUGGACAAUGGGGGAAACCCUGAUCCAGCCAUCCCGCGUGUGCGAUGAAGGCCUUCGGGUUGUAAAGCACUUUUGGCAGGAAAGAAACGUCGCGGGUUAAUACCUCGCGAAACUGACGGUACCUGCAGAAUAAGCACCGGCUAACUACGUGCCAGCAGCCGCGGUAAUACGUAGGGUGCAAGCGUUAAUCGGAAUUACUGGGCGUAAAGCGUGCGCAGGCGGUUCGGAAAGAAAGAUGUGAAAUCCCAGAGCUUAACUUUGGAACUGCAUUUUUAACUACCGGGCUAGAGUGUGUCAGAG